rnacentral:rRNA from 1 species
AACGUAGGACACAAGCGUUAUCCGGAGUUACUGGGCGUAAAGGGCGUGUAGGCGGAGAUGUAAGUCUAUUCUGAAAGCUCCUGGCUAAACUGGGAGAGGCGAAUGGAGACUGCAUAUCUAGAGUGAGGAAGAGGAAAGUGGAAUUCCGCGUGUAGUGGUGAAAUGCGUAGAGAUGCGGAGGAACACCAGUGGCGAAAGCGGACAUCC